GUCAACCAAUCUCUGGUGUGUCCGCUUAUCGAGGCUAUAACCCGGGGGAAUUAAUUAAUUUCUAAAUGAAUCAGCAAGUUAAUGAUCUGACGUAUUCUUUGCACAACGAUGCAUUAUUUGUGUUUGUUUUUGAAAGAUUUACGCCAAUUCUUACCACAGAGUGCUUGCACUUACAUUGCCUGUCUGCCAUGGUGUCUCUCGUUGUGUCUCGGUCACUCCCACUACACGCUCCGCCGAGGAGAGGCUGAGCUGAGCUUCUUACAACCUGAGCCCCGAGUCGAGUCAAGAAACAGAAUUUCAUGUAUCCAGAUUGUAGAGAAAGCAUCUUUAAAAGAUUCACAAAACGUAAAGUUUAGGUGGACUUUCGGUUAUCGUUGUAGGAUAAAGGACAAGCGAGAGAACACAUGGACACUUCUAUAUCCGGAAGCACGUCAUGUGAUCUGGGUCACGUGACCUUGAUGACUCCUCUUCAGUCCAGCACUGCAGAGAGAUCCUGAGGUGAUUGAUGCAGCCCCGGCUCUCGCUGUGUCCUCGCGCUCCACAAAGUAAAAGUACCCGAGUCCUCUGCCGCCGCGUCUCGGUCCAUCCCCUCCCAGAGGUCGUUAAGAGGGCUUUUACUUUGGAAACCUGGAAGUAACACUUCUCUGGUUAACCAGCCAGAAACAAGAUGGAGGACGUGUCGUACCAGGAGAGACUGCAGGCCAUCGCAGAGAGGCGUCGCCAGCAGGAAGAGGAGGAAAAGGUGAAGAGAGAGACGGAAGAAGAGAAGUGGAAGUUGGCCCAGAAACAGAAAAAGUCCUUAAGAGAUCAGUGGUUCAGUGAUCCAGGUGAUGCCCUCGAGGUACAGUCAGACUUGCCCCAGCUGCACAGUCAAUCAACGACUGAGGAAGGAGAACAGGAAGUCUGCAUCAGAGGACCGAAGGACUCAGCUUCUGUGGUGAGUUCAGGGAAAGAAGUCUACAUCCAAGGGACUGGAGGAAGUGACAUCACCGAAGACAUGUCACAACAGAUCUUCCACGAGGGUGGCCAAGAUGGCCGAUCAGUCCUGGGGAUGGUGGCGGUGCAGGUGGAGGUGGACCCCCGGACGGGCGCCACCGUGGUCCGCUCCGUGGCGCCCAUGUCGGCGCCGGUGGGCGCCAUGGCGACCACGGUGUUCGACGACGGCCGCAAGAGCGUGCACGCCAUCGGCGGGGGCGGCGCCCAGCCCUCGGCGGAGGAGCUGGGCCGCAUCCUGAGCGCCAUCGACGGCGUGGGGAUGACGGUGCUGCUGGACGACGUCGCCGUGACGACGAGCGAGAGCGCGGCGUCGGACGCCAGCGCCGGAGAACGUUCCCGGGGGUCCCCGGCGGCCGCGGGGUCCGUGGACGCAUCCGUGGACGAGGUGAGGGGCGGAUCGGGGGGCGGGGCCCAGGUCAGGGAGGCGGGAGCGGAGGAGGGAGGGGGCGUGGCCGUCACCCGCGGCCAGGUGGAGUCUGCCAUGACGGUGAGGGAGGCGGCCGGUCAGCCAAUCGUCACGGAGGAGGCGCCGGGGGCGGGGCCGGACUACGAGACCCCGGUGGUCCUGACCUUUCUGGGCUACGCCGACUCCGACCAGCGGGAGGGGCCGGAGGGCGUGGCCCUGGGCCGAGACGACCGGGGGGGCGUGCUCACCGUGGAGCGAGUGGUCAUCGACGCCGGGGACGAAGACGGCGACGAAGAGGAGAAGGAGGAGGUUCUGGAGCCCUCCGUGAACGGGGGUCCCGCGGGGCCGGGCGGGGCCCCUGAGCAGGACGGAGCGUUCCAGGAGGUCCGGCUGGACGGGAGCGUGAAGCGGGCCCCGGCCAAGGGGGCGGAGCCUGACAAGGUGCCCUCGGAGCCGGCCACACCCAAGGAGGGGAGCAAGGAGACAGAGGAGUCCUCCAAACCCAAGGCCUGUCAAUGCUGCUCUGUCAUGUAGCAGGGAGGGGGAGGAGAGAAGGAGAGGGAGAAAUAAAGAAAGGAAACGAGAAAGUACCGCAAACCACUUCUGCCUCCUGUUGGACAAAACUGAGAACUACAACGAGGGAGAGGGAGAGGGAGAGGGGGAGAGAGGGAGAAAGGGAGAGAGGGAGAGAGAAUUUGCCACGGAUCAUAGCAUGUUAUAUGCUGUUUUAUUUAACCUGAUUAAUCUAAGAAAUAACAAACAAACAUUGCCAUGGCUGCCUCUUACAUUAUAUUUGACAAUACAUGACAAUUUCAUGACAUUCAUUUCAUUCAAAUAAGCAUAACAUUAACAUUGUGUUCAGGUUAGUAUUACACAACAUGAUUAUAAUUGAUCAUUUAGUUCAUUCUGCAGAUGCAGAUUGAACAUAUUGUAUUGUGUACGAAAUAGGUACAACGCCUUGCAGUGACCACAGACGACAUCAUACUAAGAUAAGAGAAAAGUUCGCUGGAUAACAAUUGUGUUUUUGUUUGUUCAUCCAACCGGAAAGCGGUGGAUUACUACAACCACUACUCUAUCCGCGUGGCCGAGAACAGAGCACUUGUUUUGAGGGACAGUGACUGAAUUACCGCUGAAGCGUAUUUAAUGUAAACCAUGCUCGCCCCCUGCUGGAAGACAAGGAGAACUACAAUGACCGGGGCUCGCAUACAGGCUUGAGCCAAGAGAUCACACACACGCAUCACUCACAUGGAUUAAGACCCCAAAGGAAGAAUUGUAAUCGUUACGGUACAAAUCGCCUGUGUAUCCUACGUUAUUUCCAAAGGAUACAAAGCAUUUAAUUGAAUAAAAUAUCUUCAUAACAUAUAGACUUUUAACAUUACAAUAUUGAAAUGUUACUCAUUACUUUACUCAUGUUUCUUUGGGGUUAUUUUUUAACCAGUUUUUGACCACUUGACUGUAGCUGCUGGAGAAUUGUGAUCAACUGGACAACUGGAAUGUAUCAUUAAAUAAUGUUGUUUGAAAGGG
ensembl:lncRNA